CACACACACACACACACACACACACACUCAACCCAUCAUGCUUACAACGCUAGACUGUUAGAUUUGAUCGGGUUUAUAAUCUACUGACAAUAUGACAAAAAUGCAAGGCAGAAAAUACGGCUGAGGUAAAUAUUUCCGUGUCUGUUUUGUAACAGAAAAAGGGAGACAAGGAGGACGAGGAGGAGGAGCAGGAAGAGGAGGAAGAGUGCUGGUGUGACAGGGGAGGAAGGCUGAUCACUCGAAAUCUACCUGUGUGCUUUUCAUGCUCGCAUCACUGCCGUGCAAAUGUACAAAAAAUCCGCAGACGUGCAAAAAUUGGACGCUUACGUGAGCAUGACUGGUUUCAACUAAUGAUAAGAAUAAAAAUAAGAAUAAGAAACAUGCCUUCCAAAUCUCAACGUGGCUGAUUCUCGCCAUUCUGAGAGGAAACGAUGUGUUUAUCUGACCUCUUCCCCUGAUUCCUCCUCUAUGGCCCAUGGCUAUCUGACCCCUACAACUCCUAAAACACCCUUUGAGCACCAACCAACCACUUUUUUUUCUCCUCAGCGCAAUGUACAUAUUAACACCUUUUUACAGCACUAUUAUUUUCCUCUCUUACCCCAACUACAUACCAAGUCUUAUAUCUUGCCGCUGCCAAGCAUGAGGGUGUUUUGCUUGGUUCCCCCCCCCCACUCCAAAACAACAACAUCACCCUGUUCCUCCAUGAAAAAACCACCCCCACCACCCCAAGCCCUGACAUAGUCCCACGGUUGUUUGGCGAGGGGGUUUCCUCUCCUUGCUUUUUUAUCUGUGCACUCGCUCCGUGACCCUUGUUCCCCUUGUUUCUUGCUGUCUGACCUACAACCACCCUCCCACCCCCACGCCAAACACACCAUCCUCACUCCCUCUGUGUAAAAUAGACAAGCCGCUGCUGACAAAUUCUCCUCGUGCCUCGACAUCUCCCAAAACCGACAUCCCCCCACGACUGCACAUUUAUGGGAUUUUAAGAUCCUGUUCUUUUAUUUUUAUUUUUUUGUAACGCAUUGGACGUUUCCUCCGAAAAGUGUAAUAUCGACAUUGUGCGUUGUUAAGUGUGUUUAAAAAUGGAUCCGCACAAUGUCAGGUUUCCACUCCUGAUUCUUUUAAGAUCGUAGGAACGGGGCAAUGUUUUCCUUCCAGUCCUCCUGUAGGUUUGCAGCCAGGUAAUUGUCGUGCCUGCACGCGAACCAGCCACGGCCCCAUGUUGCCUGAGAGGCAGCGUGCACUUUGCAGGGCUGCUUGGCUGGCGGUCCCGCCUGAUCCGCUGCUGUCAUGAAGGAGAACCCGGGGCUCCCUUUUUUUUUCAUAGCCCGCACGCACGCCCUCGCACGUCACGUGCACGCGCGAACCGCUCACGCACGCACGCACACACAAGCGGGAUCGAUUUGCUCGGGACUUGGUCUGGGAACCGCUGAGAAUCGACUUUAAAAAAAAUACAAGGCUCGAAAGAAGCAAAGAGCUGGGGCCGAGUUAGGGAGAUGAGCUGAGCCGAGGUGGGAUGAAGCCGAGGGGGGGAAAGAGUGGCCGCGAGUCGGUGCGGAGGUCUCGCGCACACAAAAAAAAGGAAAAAGAAAAAAAGAUUCCAGGAAAAAGGAUCUCUUAAACCCCCAUACCGAAGCCCUACCAUCGGACAGUCAUACUUUGAAUUUUUUCGUUUGUUUGUUUGCACAAAAUGCGAGAAGCGAGAGCUGAGAGAUCCGCGAAAGAGUCGCCGAAACCACGCGGAACCAACAGGCUGGACUUGGAGCUCCUUCCCCGGGCUGCGCUCUGUGACCAGCCGCCGCUGCCCGACCCCCGCGAAUCCCGUCGAAACACGUCUCUCGACACCCACGAUCCCCCCCACUCACGUCCCGUCCCCACCAAAAAGCCCGAAUCUGCAUUCAAAGCGCUUCUUUUUUCUACGUCUCGAAGGAUCCGCUUGUUCUCGCACGUAGACCAAGAGGAGAGGACGAGCGCUGAUGUGAACACAGGUGAGUUUUGAAACGGGGGACCAGCUCCGCUACAAGUCCACCGCCAUGGAGAAGGAAAGAGGCUGAGAGAGAGAAUAGGAUCGCGCAGCAACAACAACACAAAAAAAAGGAGACAAAGUUGAAACUUACAAUUUGCCGCUUUGUGAUGUUCGCUUUUUAAUCCAGUAGCGAGACGAUGGAACUAAAGAUCCCAUCAAGGCGAGAAGAGUCCCCUUUCGGUCAAUUUGCGCUCGAGGGUGGGCGAAAAAAAA